AACGAACGCUGGCGGCAUGCCUAACACAUGCAAGUCGAACGAGACCUUCGGGUCUAGUGGCGCACGGGUGCGUAACGCGUGGGAAUCUGCCCUUGGGUUCGGGAUAACAGUUGGAAACGACUGCUAAUACCGGAUGAUGACUUCGGUCCAAAGAUUUAUCGCCCAGGGAUGAGCCCGCGUCGGAUUAGCUAGUUGGUGAGGUAAGAGCUCACCAAGGCGACGAUCCGUAGCUGGUCUGAGAGGAUGAUCAGCCACACUGGGACUGAGACACGGCCCAGACUCCUACGGGAGGCAGCAGUGGGGAAUAUUGGACAAUGGGCGAAAGCCUGAUCCGGCAAUGCCGCGUGAGUGAUGAAGGCCUUAGGGUUGUAAAGCUCUUUUACCCGGGAUGAUAAUGACAGUACCGGGAGAAUAAGCCCCGGCUAACUCCGUG
rnacentral:rRNA from 1 species